GGAAGGGUGGCCGAGUGGUUUAAGGCGCCGGUUUCGAAAACCGGUGGGAGCAAUCCCUCGUGAGUUCGAAUCUCACCCCUUCCG
rnacentral:tRNA from 1 species